rnacentral:rRNA from 1 species
CAGCGCCGCGGUAAUACGAAGGGUGCAAGCGUUAAUCGGAAUUACUGGGCGUAAAGCGUGCGUAGGCGGUGAGUUAAGUCUGCUGUGAAAUCCCCGGGCUCAACCUGGGAAUGGCAGUGGAUACUGGCUCGCUAGAGUGUGUCAGAGGAUGGUGGAAUUCCCGGUGUAGCGGUGAAAUGCGUAGAGAUCGGGAGGAACAUCAGUGGCGAAGGCGGCCAUCUGGGACAACACUGACGCUGAGGCACGAAAGCGUGGGGAGCAAACAGGAUUAGAUACCCCCGUAGUCCCUGUCUCUUAUCAC